rnacentral:rRNA from 1 species
GAUGAACGCUAGCGGCAGGCUUAACACAUGCAAGUCGAGGGGCAGCAUGAGACGGAGAUUCGUCGAAGUCUUGAUGGCGACCGGCGCAAGGGUGCGUAACGCGUGAGCAACUUGCCCGUUUCAGGGGGAUAACCGUUGGAAACGACGACUAAUACCCCAUAGUAUCGUGAGGAGGCAUCUCUUAUGAUUAAAGAAUUUCGGAAACGGAUAGGCUCGCGUGACAUUAGCUAGAUGGCGGGGUAACGGCCCACCAUGGCGACGAUGUCUAGGGGUUCUGAGAGGAAGGUCCCCAACACUGGAACUGAGACACGGUCCAGACUCCUACGGGAGGCAGCAGUGAGGAAUAUUGGUCAAUGGUCGAAGGACUGAACCAGCCAUGCCGCGUGAAGGUGACGGCCCUAUGGGUCUUAAACUUCUUUUGUAAGGGAGCAAUAAGGUCUACGUGUAGGCUGAUGAGAGUACCUUACGAAUAAGCAUCGGCUAACUCCGUGCCAGCAGCCGCAGUAAUAC